AUUUAAGAAUUUAAGAAUUUAAGAAUUUAAGAAUUUAAGAAUUUAAGAAUUUAAGAAUUUAAGAAUUUAAGAAUUUAAGAAUUUAAGAAUUUAAGAAUUUAAGAAUUUAAGAAUUUAAGAAUUUAAGAAUUGAGGAAUUGAGGAAUUUAAGAAUUUAAGAAUCUAAGAAUUUAAGAAUUCAGAAAAAAAAAAUAAACAUUUGUUCCCAAUUUGUACCAGCCUUAUUUAAUAAUUUCCAAAUUUCCUGACUUCCUAAUUUCCUAGUUUCCGAAUAUCCUAUUUUCCUUAUUUCCUAAUUUCUGUAUUUCCAAAUUUCCUAAUUUCUUAACUUCCUUACUUCCUAAACUCCUAAUUUCCUAGUUUCCUAAUUUCCUAACUUCCUAAUUUCCUGAUUUCCUAAUUUCCUAAUUUCCUAAUUUCCUAACUUCCUAAUGUCCUUACUUCCUAAUUUCCUAACUUCCUAACUACUUUAGCUUCCUAAUUUCCUAGUUUCCUGAUAUGCUAAUUUCCCAAUUUCCUAACUUCCUCACUUCUUAAUAUCCUAAUUUCCUUAUUUAAUUUCCUAAUUUCCUUAUUUAAUUUCCUAAGGAAUACUUCCUAAUUUCAAAUUCCCUGGAGAUGGAACCACACGUUGCCGUCGUUUCAGGGCUAUUUGCCAAGAUGGUUUCCGAUGUUGAUAUAUAUCACACAUUUAUUUUAUAUUUAUAUACUUGUGUUGAUAGAAAUCACAGCUUUUAUAAUAUGUAAAAUUACAAGAUAUUGAAAUUGUUUAUUCGAGUCUCAAUAUUCUUGUUCGUAAAAUCUGUUAGAAACAGGUUUAAAACUGUUUGAUAAUGGGGAGGAAUAGUUAGUUUUUUUGUAACUUUUUCUAGGUUGUUUAAUAAUUCCAGACUUCAGUUAUGUGUAAGCCAGUUUAGUAAUCCUAUCAGAAUUUCUGAUUUCAAUUGAAGUGGUAUACUAACCAUUCUGAAUUGUCCAAAAAUCCAUAGAGUCUCGAUCAAUCAAUAAUGAAAUGAUAUCGGACAAAAUUCGUUAAUCUGUUGAACUAACGGAUUUCGGAUUAUGGUUGUAUCGAUCAUUGUUGCGAAUCGAGGAUCUACUGGAGUUUUGACGAUCAAAUAGAGCCUAACAUUUCAAAAGGACACACAGGUGUGAACAGGAUUGUGUCUCUUUCACUCAAAUUACAUAAGAUAUAUGAUAGGGAUACACUCUUGUUUGCAGAGCUUGUGUGCCCUUAUGAAAUGGAAGGCACGAAAUAGUCGUCUUAACAACGAGUGUUCAACUUGUAAAAUAUGAACGUUUCAUUAAUGUUUAUUGUUUUUGGAAGCAGCAUGACAGGUUUUAAAAAUAGGCAAAGAAAUGUUUGGCUUUGUAAUUAAAAUUUCGGGGAUUUGAGAUUCAAGUUACUUUCAGACAGUUUAGUUGAGGUUGUUGUUUCAAGUUAGUUAGUUUUUCUGAAAUGAAUAAUUGGACAUAAAUGAUUAGUUAAAUUAAAGUUAGUUGCAGUGUACGACAAGACUACUGACGGACGCGACAGGACGGGGUCCAGAAAAAAUGCCCUUGAAAGUUAGUUUUCAUCUUUUAUUUUCCAGUUAAUUUAUUUGAUUACCUUUAGAUUUGAAAUACAUCAUAGGUUCCCUUUGUAUAAAUCUCAAUUGAGUUUUUGAUUGAAUCAUAAUUUCAGAUUUCCUAUAUUCAGUUUUAAAGUUAGAUUAACGUAACUGCUCAAGUCAUCCAAGUUCUUACUACUCACACCUACACUAAUUUUCUUUCACCUUCCCCCUCCCGAUCCCCUAUAUCUUCCGGUGGUGUUCAUUUGGUAUGCAAUACUAGUUCGGCCACUACCCUUUUUUCCUCAAGAAACCGGACUUGGACUGACUUGAGGCCGCGUCCCCCACCUUGCUCCGUAAAACGAAAACGAAAACGAAAACGAAUACUUCCUAAUUUCAAAUUUCCUAAUUUCCAAAUUUCCUAAUUCCCUGCUUUCCUAUAUUUUUUUAAUUUCCUUAUUUCAUAAUUACAUAAUUUUUGAAUUUCCUUAUUUCAUAAUUACAUAAUUUUUUAAUUUCCUUAUUUCAUAAUUACAUAUUUUUUUAAUUAUAGUUUUUCUAGUUUAAGAAUUUAAGAAUUUCGAAUUUUCUGUUUUUUUUUAAGGAAAUGUUCAAUUAUUGAUUUCUUAAUUUUGUUUAUAAUUGUUGUUAAAAGUUCUUGAAUAAACAUUUAUAAUCUACUUAAUUAUAACUUUUGAAUAUUUUUAAUCUUUUUAUUUUUUCCUCGAAAGAACCUCAAGCGCGCACACCGUCAAUCGCGCUCAUACCGAACUGUCAACUUUUCUUGGGGGGGUCACGAAAAGAACACGCAACAUUUCUUGACCGCGUUCCUUCCGAUCAGCAUACCGUACUUUACUUUGAAUUGACAACUAAACUCGAAAUCAAUGACCUGUCAGGUGGUAGAGGUGGUAGACUGGUCGUACAAUUUCAAGGGGUUUUUCGGAGUUUGGUGUAAUCAAAAUUGGGUAGGAGAGCGACUGUACUCUGGAGCAACAUUUGAAAGGGCGGUAUGACAUUGUUCAUACCGCCUCUUUCAAACGUUGUUCCAGUUAUUUUAACUUCAGUAGUGUAGUAAUUGGUUUACUCCGAUUUCACUUGUAGUGUUCGAAAAAAAAAAUCAUUAAAUAAAAUUCACAAGUCGAAAGAGUUCCAAUUCAAGCAAUACAACGUUACCAGAAGGAUGGACUGUUUGUAUAAAAUUCAACUUUGGCCCGUUACAUGUUUUGCUUGAAUUAUUUGUAUAUAUUUUUUCAAGUGGCAUUCUCCUAAAUGAAUCAAUUCUUACUAUUUUUAAGCUUUGUUCCCGAGCUUCAUACAGUUUAUGAAAAUGAAAUAAAUUUAAAUAAAUAUGUACGACUUUGUUUUGAUAUAAUAUCCAAUACAGUAAUCCAAAGGAAGGAAGCUCAUCUUAUAAACAAAUAAGUAUUUCGAUCGGGUUUCAAUCAAUUUCUGAGUAAUCGGUUUAAAAAUUGCUUGAUAUCCAGGUUUUUAAGCGAAGAUGGCGUUCGAAUAGUGAACGCCCGAAAUGUCAAAAUCGCGCAGUAGCACCAACAUUAGAAAAAAAAUGUGGCUGUCAUGCCAUGGCACACUUGUUUUGUAAUGUUGGUACCACUGCGUGAUUUUGACAUUUCGGGCGUUCACCAUUCGAACGCCAUCUUCGCUUAAAAACCUCGAUAGUGCAAAUAUGUCUUUAAAAUGCUCCCAAAACAAAGUUAAGUCGUGAUAGCGGAUAAAACCAGCCUGCAUGACCCACUAAGCUAUUUUGCAUUUUACUUUUGAACGAACAACAAACGUUAUUAAGCAUUAUUAUUUAAGUCCAGUUCUUUUUUUUUAAGUACUAUAAACAUAUGAAACACAAUAGCUUAUUGGACCUUUAAAAAAAAAUCUAGAAGUAUUGGUUCAGAUGGCCGUAAAAUAAAAAUAAAAUUAAGAAAAAGAAGAUUUCUAACAAAUAAAAAUAAAUUUGAAAAAAAAGAAAAAUCAGGCCGAUUAAAACACAUCUAAUCUAAUUCGUCUAUUUCUAGCAAAACAAUGUAAAUGAGCCUAUGUCGAAGUGUAAACAAUGAGUCUAUCCUGUUCAUUCAUAAUGUAAACAUCAUCUGGCGACUUUGGUCCAUUUACAUUGUUUGGCUUGAUUUAUUCCUUACAGUAUGCAUACUCAAUUUUGAGUAAAUGCUUAUUUCGGAGACUCCCUUUUUGCAUGCCAAAUUUUGCGUGCAAACUCCGAAAAAAAUUGAUUUGUUUGUAAACAUAUUUUGUUUGCGUUUCAAAACUGUCAUUACUGUCAUUAGUGUUGCGAAUUUUCGAAUACAAAAAAACUUCUUUCCAUCUAAUUUAAAAGUUUAAUAUAGUUUGCUUAAAAAUUGUCGAGAGUUUACUUGCUGGUAGCGUAACAAUCGAUAGAAAGUUGUACUGAUUCAACCCGGGAUGUAGUCAAAAGCUUUUCCACGGUGGAGCUCCUUUUGUUGCCAACUACGACCAACUUGCGGACAAUCUUUAUUUGAUUUCCAAGCUGCUCACCGAAUUGGAUUCAACACAGAUGGAGAACAAGCCACAUUCAGCAGAAAGUGCCCGGCCCCCAGCAAGUGUACUUCAACAUCUGGAUAUAUUUUUUUUGCAAAAUUGAAAGGUGAGUGUGGCUUGUAAACACAGUUUUUUUUAAACAGAGUUGCAGAAUCAUUUUCUGCAGACGUCUGGUCUAGUGCUGACAAAUUUUGUUUCAAGAUUGAAAUAAUUUUCAUUCUACAAAUAAUUCCGCAGUAAAUUUUCAACAGGGCGAAUCCUUUGAUGUAUACAAACAGCCUGUCCCCCUCUUACUCAACGUAAAUGUCACUAGAGCAAGUGGGAUAGACUGUUUGUUUACAUCCGAGGUUUCGCGCUUUUGUAACUUACGGAACUACGGAAUUCUAAAAACAUAAGCAAACCAAACAUGUUGCCGGAUAAGUUUACGGAUAAGAUCCGGCCAAGAAUUUGUAUGAUUUACCGGGAAGUCGAAAAAAUUGCAACAAAUACCCAACUUCGAACAACAAAAAACAUACAAACUAAUCGUUUACCAGUCGAAAAAGAACUUGCCAGCAAAACUACGAGUACGGUUGUUUUGUUUUGACCCAAUCUAUAGUUUCCCUGAAAAUCAACAGCACACAAAAUAUAAAUCCAACAUUAACUUGUGAUGACGAUUCUUCAAAA